rnacentral:rRNA from 1 species
GACGAACGCUGGCGGCGUGCCUAAUACAUGCAAGUCGAGCGAACAGACGAGGAGCUUGCUCCUCCUACAUUAGCGGCGAACGGGUGAGUAACACGUGGAUAACCUACCUAUAAGACUGGGAUAACUUCGGGAAACCGGUGCUAAUACCGGAUAAUAUCUUUAACCGCAUGGUUUAAUAGUGAAAGAUGGUUUUGCUUUAACUAAUGGAUGGAUCCCGUCGUCUUAGGCUAGUUGGUAAGGUAACGGCUUACCAAGGCGAGGAUGCGAAGCCGACCUGGGAGGGUGAUCGGCAACACUGGACCGGAGACACGGUCCAGACUCCUACGGGAGGCAGCAGAAGGGAAUCUUCCGCAAUGGGCGAAGGCCUGACGGAGCAACGCCGCGUGAGUGAUGAAGGUCUUCGGAUCGUAAAACUCGGUUAUUAGGGAAGAACAAAUGUGUAAGUAACUAUGCACGUCUUGACGGUACCUAAUCAGAAAGCGACGGCUAACUACGUG